AGAGCGAACGCUGGCGGCAGGCCUAAUACAUGCAAGUCGAACGCACCUUCGGGUGAGUGGCGGACGGGUGAGUAACACGUGGGAACGUGCCCUUUGGUUCGGAAUAAUCCGGGGAAACCUGGCCUAAUACCGGAUGAGCCCUUCGGGGGAAAGAUUUAUCGCCAUUGGAGCGGCCCGCGUCUGAUUAGCUAGUUGGUAGGGUAAAGGCCCACCAAGGCUACGAUCAGUAGCUGGUCUGAGAGGAUGAUCAGCCACACUGGGACUGAGACACGGCCCAGACUCCUACGGGAGGCAGCAGUAGGGAAUCUUGCGCAAUGGGGGAAACCCUGACGCAGCAACGCCGCGUGGAGGAUGAAGCCCCUUGGGGUGUAAACUCCUUUCGAUCGGGACGAUUAUGACGGUACCGGAUGAAGAAGCACCGGCUAACUCUGUGCCAGCAGCCGC
rnacentral:rRNA from 1 species